AGAAAGCAGAUAAUGUCACCUUCCUGUUCAAGUCUAGUGACUUCCACAACAUGAAAAAAUAAAAUCUCAAGGCCAACUAAAUCCUGCAUUCCCUGGUCACUGGCUAUAUCUCUAACUUCAUUUGUAACCCUUGUUCACCCUGGCCAUAUCUGCAUUCUAGGUAUUCUCUGUCAUAGCCACCCUCCCACCUUGAGGCCUUCCUACGUCCUGUCUCCCAGAUAGUUACACAGUUCUCACACAAAAGAAUGCAAUCCCUCAGGCUGCCCAAAACAUCUCUCCUGAACCAACAUCACUAAUGAAAGCAACCUGUCCUCCUGCCCCUCAGGAUGUUACCUCCAUGUCACGUGUUCCAACUUCUGCUUGAAGGGGAGGCCUUAGGGAGAACCAUAAGAACUGAAAUCAGCUUUCCACCCUCACCACCAUCAUCUCAUUCUUCAACAAAUAUAGGGCCACACUGUUCCAGGAUCUGUUUGUUCUCAGCACUAGAGGUACAGAAAAGUAAAACUGUACACAUGCUCUGUGCAUGGUCACCAUCUAUAGCAUUCCCUAAACAUCAAGGCACAUAUGCUUUGUCUUGGCUUGGGAGCAACCUGGAUGAUCUAGUCAUCACUUCUCUGAUCACCAGUCACUACUUUAAAAUAUAGGUUCCAUGAUUAUUUAGGUGUGGCAAGGCCAACAGAUCAGGAAAUGACUGCCAUGGAAAAGAGGAUUAUACUCACAGAUUCCAAGAGAAGGCGGCAUGCCAGAAUCUGGAACCGGAUCCUCUAAUGAUGUCAUAAGACCUGAGCUGUAUUCACCUAGGAAUCAUGUUGUAAAAUACUCAAGAAAGCACAGGCCAAUCCCUGAAUGCAUGGCCCCUCUAGGGAAUCAUGACCCAGGAUCCCAAACCACUGGGAGAAAUCUUCACUCUGCUGACUCUGGCAUGCAGCACAAAUGAACCAUCACCUGCUUCAGACACUAAACAUGCAAUGACAACUCAUCCCCCACCCUUUGUAAUCUGCAAUCAUUUAUCCCAGGCUGACUGGUUCUCAACAUCUCUGGCUGGAAUGCAGUGGAAUGAUUAUAGAUCAAUGCAGCCUCAAACUCCUGAGCUCAAGCAAUCCUCCUGCCUCAGCUUCCCAAGUAGCUGGGACUACAGAUGCGUGCUCCCACACUUGUGUGAUGGUUAAUAUUGAGUGCCAACUUGGUUGGACUGAAGGAUGCAAAGUAUUGUUCCUGGGUGUGUCUGUGAGGGUGUUGCCGAAGGAGAUUAACAUUUGAGACAGUGGGCUGGGAAAAGCAGAACCACCCUCAAUCUGGGUGGGCACCAUCUAAUCAGCUGCCUGCACAGCCAGAAUAAAAGCAGGCAGAAGAACGUGGAAAAACUAGACUGGCUGAGUCUUCUGGCCUCCAUCUUUCUCCCAUGCCGGACACUUCCUGCCCUCGAACAUCGGACCUCAAGUUCUUCAGCUUUGGGACUCUUGGACCUUCAACCACAGACUGAAGGCUGCACUGACGGCUUCCCUACUUUUCAGGUUUUGGGACUCGGACUAGCUUCCUUGCUCCUCAGCUUGCAGAUGGUCUGCUGUGGGACUUUGCCUUGUAAUCAUUAGUGUGAUUCAGGCAUCAGAGUUGCCACCUCUUAGAUGAAGUUUCCACUGCUCAAGUACCUGUCUCUCUUACACUGAGAAGAACUACAGAUUUCACUCUGAGGAUAUCAUCCGCAGGAGGGCGGUUAUUGGGGUGGGAAAUUGUAUGGUGAUGUUUGUCUUUGAUCUGUUCUCAGAUCUUUUAUAGAGCUUUCCUUCCUCCCCUCUUCCACCAUGUAUGUUCCUGGACUUCAGUCCAAUGUCGGCUCCUCGCAGAUUCCUUACUUCUAAGGCUGUUAUAUUAGAAAUAGGGAUGUUAUCGGUGGAAGGUAUCUGAGUUACUGGCAAUGAAUUCUGCAGCAACAUCAAUUCUUGCCUCCUCAGAAGAAAGAAUUUGACGGAGGGGCAUAAGGCAGAAAAAGAGACCAAGGCAAGCUUCACAGCAGGAAGUUUAUUUAAAAGGUUUUAGAAUAGAAAAGAAAGGAAGGUAUACCUGGAAGAGACCCAAGCAGGCACGUGAAGGUCAAGUGCGAUGUUUAACCUUGAUCCCAGGACUUUAUAGGCUGGCCCACUUCCUGUGACUUGCACCUCUUUCCCAUAAUUCAUCCCUUAGGGUGGGCUGCCCGCAUGCACAGUGCCCUCCUUAUGCUUGAGAAGUGAGUACACACAAGGAAGUUGUACACAUGCCCCUUGGAGGUUUCCUUCCCUUUUCCAGUGAUACUUCACCAUCUUGCCUCUUAAUGCUCUUGCCCUUGCUUACUUGCCCAAUACCUGAGAUUUUAUUGGAAUCCCCUUUUUGCUUCUCCCUGGCACCUGCAUUCAAUUCACACUUUACUGUUAACAGGUGUGGACCAUUAGGAGAUUGUCUCUCCCCAGUGCCCUUUGCCAAUUUAUCACUUUUAGAGAGGAAAUGUGAUGAUAAUUGCCAAGCCAUCACCCAACAAUCCUAGUGGGUGGGGGAGAGCCCUCUCCUGCCCCAUUCAUGCCUGUUUAGCUACCUGUGACAGGAAAUUUAGCCAUCAUUGGCUCAUUUUCUUGAAAGACUCAGAUAGGAUAGUGAGGACUGGUUGCUAUUGCUUACGUACUCCAUGUCACUAAAUGAAUCAAAACAUUCUCUGCCUUGGACAUAAUGACGAAUGCAAUGUUAUCAGAUUCAUAGUACAUUUUGGGGGCAAAAUAUACUCAGUUUUGGGAACAAACAUUUGCUUCUUUUUUAUAUGACAAAAAUUAUGAGAAUUUUCUCUGUUACACCAUAUUUCAGGUUUCAG
rnacentral:lncRNA from 1 species